rnacentral:rRNA from 1 species
GACGAACGCUGGCGGCGCGCUUAACACAUGCAAGUCGAACGGAAAGGCCUGCUUUCCCUUGUGGAUUGCGGGUACUCGAGUGGCGAACGGGUGAGUAACACGUGAGUGAUCUGCCCCCAACUUGGGUAUAAGCCUGGGAAACUGGGUCUAAUUCCCGAUAGGACUGCAGGGUGGUGCCUGUGGUGGAAAACGAUGUUCUAGUGGUUGGGGAUGAGCUCGCGGCCUAUCAGCUUGUUGGUGGGGUAAUGGCCUACCAAGGCGGCGACGGGUAGCCGGCCUGGGAGGGUGGGCGGCCGCAGUGGGACUGCGAUACGGCGCAGACUCCUACGGGAGGCAGCAGAGGGGAAUCAUGCGCAAUGGGCGGAAGCCUGAUGCAGCGACGCCGCGUGGGGGAUGACGGCCUUCGGGUGGUAGCCUCCUUUCGACAGAGAGGAAGCCACCUGGAUGGAAGGGUGGUGACGGUAGUGGUAGAAGAAGCACCGGCUAACUACGUG